rfam:Streptomyces sp. CMAA 1322 contig13, whole genome shotgun sequence.
CUUCACCGACCCCAGCCACAACGGCCGCCCCUCCACCCGCCCUUGACCAUAAGUGGCCAACAACGCCUGCGCCUC